rnacentral:rRNA from 1 species
GACAGAGGGGGCAAGCGUUGCUCGGAAUCACUGGGCGUAAAGGGCGCGUAGGCGGGACGGCAAGUCGGUCGUGAAAGCCCUCGGCUCAACCGAGGAGAGUCGGCCGAGACUGUCGUUCUUGAGGGAUGCAGAGGAGACUGGAAUUCCCGGUGUAGCGGUGAAAUGCGUAGAUAUUGGGAGGAACACCAGUGGCGAAGGCGGCUCACUGGACCGGAACUGACGCUGAGGCGCGAAAGCGUGGGGAGCAAACAGG